rnacentral:rRNA from 1 species
AUUGAACGCUGGCGGCAGGCUUAACACAUGCAAGUCGAACGAGUGGCGGACGGGUGAGUAAUGCUUGGGAAUCUGGCUUAUGGAGGGGGAUAACGACGGGAAACAGUCGCUAAUACCGCGUAUCAUAGGAUGAGCCCAGGUGGGAUUAGGUAGUUGGUGGGGUAAAGGCCUACCAAGCUGACGAUCCCUAGCUGGUCUGAGAGGAUGACCGGCCACACCGGGACUGAGAGACGGCCCGGACUCCUACGGGAGGCAGCAGUGGGGAAUAGUGCGCAAUGGGGGAAAGCUGACGCAGCCAUGCCGCGUGAAUGAAGAAGGCCUUCGGGUUGUAAAGUUCUUUCGUUAUGGAGGCGUUAAAUACAGAAGAAGCACCGGCUAACUCCGUGCCAGCAGCCGCGGUAAUUC